CAGCCGCCGCGGGAAUACAGAGGGUGCGAGCGUUAAUCGGAUUUACUGGGCGUAAAGCGUGCGUAGGCGGCUUCUUAAGUCAGAUGUGAAAUCCCUGAGCUUAACUUAGGAAUUGCAUUCGAUACUGGGAAGCUAGAGUAUGGGAGAGGAUGGUAGAAUUCCAGGUGUAGCGGUGAAAUGCGUAGAGAUCUGGAGGAAUACCGAUGGCGAAGGCAGCCAUCUGGCCUAAUACUGACGCUGAGGUACGAAAGCAUGGGGAGCAAACAGGAUUAGAUACCCCCGUAGUCCCUGUCUCUUAUAC
rnacentral:rRNA from 1 species